GACGAACGCUGGCGGCGUGCCUAACACAUGCAAGUCGAACGGAGAUACGAUUUCGGUUGUAUCUUAGUGGCGAACGGGUGAGUAACGCGUGAACAACCUGACUCUAAGAGGGGGAUAACACUCGGAAACGGGUGCUAAUACCGCAUAAGACCACGACCCGGCAUCGGGAUGAGGUCAAAGGAGCAAUCCGCUGAGAGAGGGGUUCGCGUCCCAUUAGAUAGAUGGCGGGGUAACGGCCCACCAUGUCAACGAUGGGUAGCCGAGCUGAGAGGCUGAUCGGCCACACUGGAACUGAGACACGGUCCAGACUCCUACGGGAGGCAGCAGUGGGGAAUAUUGGGCAAUGGGCGCAAGCCUGACCCAGCAACGCCGCGUGAGGGAAGAAGGCUUUCGGGUUGUAAACCUCUGUCCUUGGUGACGAAACAAAUGACGGUAGCCAAGGAGGAAGCCCCGGCUAACUACGUGCCAGCAGCCGCCGUAACAC
rnacentral:rRNA from 1 species